UUUUUUUUUUUUUUUUUGCAUUUCAACCACUUUUGAUUCAUUUUUUGUAAAAACUAAGUUCAAAAACGGAUUCUACACGAAAAAUCGAGUGGGGUGUAUUUUGAUGAAAUUUUGUGACCGAAAAAUUUGCCAGACUGAGGCUUCAGUCCUACCGGAGUGGAAGAAGAAGAAAAAAGAAGAAGAAGAAGAGGAGGAAAAAGAAAAAAAGGAAAAAAAAAGAAAGGAAGAAAAAAAGAAAGAAGAAGGCUUGGGCUGUUUCAUUUUUUUUUGUUGGUCUUGUUUCUUAAUUUUCUAGUGGGCUAGAAAUUGAUGUUGGGGGCUUUUUGUCCGGGCUCUUGAGGUAAUUAUCCACUUGGACUUGUUUUUAUUUUCAUGAAGAUAGCCCAUAUUUUAAUUUCUGGCCGGAUGACUUCGGCCCAAGCAAAUAAAAAUAAAUGCCCCAAUGCCCUUUUUCUUGCAAAAAUAAAAAAAUGAAUUUUGCACUUUAGCUCCUGAUAUUUGGAGUAGUUUUACUGUGGCCCAAAAAAUUUUAAAUUUCCUUCACCUAAGCCCUUCAUUUAAUUGUAUUUUUUGUCCCUGAACUUUAUCUUAAUUAAAAUUUUGACCCUUAAACUUUUGAAAAUUUAUAUUUUUAACGCCAAAUUUUUUUUUGUAAUUUAGUCCCUAGUGAAUUUUGACUCUCUCUAUUAUAUCUUUUCAUCAAUAGCUAAUUAUGUUACUUUUGAAUGUAUUCAGAUUGUAAUUUUUAGAAGUUCUUAAAUUUCUUUAUGUUUGAUGUAUUAAUGUGAUUUUAGUACUUUUAGUAUUUAUUAUUUUCAAUUAAAUUGGUGCCAUAAUUUUUUUGUUCAUUUUGAGUAUAAAAUAGGGCAAUUUGACUUCAUUUAGUUACCACUUCAAAAGAGAGGUACCCCUAUUAUUAUUUCAAUAUCAAUUACGUGCUCUUAUGUGUUUAUAUAUUUUUAUAUGCUUUGUUAUUUAUUUGAUUCAAACAUUCAUUCAAAUUUUCUUAUAUUUGUUUAGUUAAUUUUUAUAAUUAUUUGGGAGGUAUUUAAAUAUCUCAAGAUAUUAUAGAUAGGUAAUAUUUUUGAAAAAUUAUAACUAGAUAGAUAAAUGUAAUACUUAAGAUAGAUAGAUUUAUUUUAUUAUAUUUUUCCAUUUCAGAUUGUAAUUAGGUCCCCUAUUGUAAUAGAUAGGAUAGAUAGGUUUAUUUUAUUAUAUUUCUCCAUUUUAAAUUGUAGUUAGACUCUCCGCUGUAAUAGGUAGGUUUUGUGUGUUUGCAUGGAUUAAGUGUUAUGUGCUUUAUCCGCUUUUCUUAGGAUUUUUGCAUUUAAAUAUUAUAUUUAUGUGUUACGUGCUACAUACUCUUAUGUGUUUAUUUGUUUUAAUUUAUGCCUUAUUCGUUUUACUAUGUAUUAUUAAUACAUGACGUCACCACACUAGUUUAAUGUUAGUUGUGAUUUUUCCCUUUCGCUUACUUGCUAGUCCAACGUUAGUAAGGAAUUUUAGAAAUGUGUUAGUCCAACGCUAAACCCUUAUAUCGUUCAUGUGUUAGAUUCAUCUUGUGUGUAACAUUCAUUACAUUUUCACGUAUAAUUUUUAUUUUAGAAUCUUUUCUCAUUUGCAUGAUAUUUUCUAUUAUAUUAUCCUCUACCCUCCAUAUGUGUUAAUCAUAUCAUUUAAGAUUACAUCUCAUUUAAGAAAUCACAAAAUAAGUUAGUUCAUUUACUUGUUUAGAUUAGGAGAAUUACUCUUUACAUAUGGGAAAUGAGUGAUUAUAACCUUUUAGUUUAAAUACCCGGUUAAUCUUUGUAUAAGAAAAUUAUGUCACGAGUUUUGUCUCCCAUACCCAUUAUAUUGUAUCCAUUCUUCCAUGAUCACUUAUAUCUAUAUAUAAUUUAAUUUUCUUUUCUUUUGAAUUUUUUUUUUGCAUACAAAUGACCCUUUCAAGGGAUUAUUUUGGCUUUCGCAAUUAAUACGAUUGAUAUCAAUUAAAUCUUGAAUGGAUAUUUUGUCCCUUUUGACAUUUUCUUUGAAUUUAGCUUUGCAUCCAUAUAAGAAAUAUCCAAACGUAACAAAUUUAAGGGUUAGAUUAGAGAAAUUUUAAUUAAACCACCCAACUAGUUCAUAAUAGAUUGAAAGGGUGCCUUAGAUUUGAGUCGAUCAAACAUUUGCUUUCCCUUUUUUUAAUCGUGAUUCCCAAACUCAUUCUUUUGUGUCGAAAAUGGUUUUAUUUUAUUUUAUUUACUUUUUAUUUUAAAUUUUGUUAGAAAAAACAUUUUUUUGGGGUGACUUGGUACACCCAAACUCAAUACUGAGUGACGACUCUUAUAUUUCUUAAAAAUCCUUUUAGACUAAAUUUUAGGUCCAAACUGUCGUAUUUUGUAAAGUUUCACUCUAGGUCAUUUUUCACUUAUUUUUAAAUAAAAAUCACAUCUUCUGUAAAUACUUAUUUUCAUCGCGAAAAAUGGGGCGCGACGAUCUCCAUAUUUUUCUUCGCAGCGCAAAAGAAAUUGGAACGGCAGCUUGAUAAGGUGGAGGACCCUGCCGCUGUAGAUAAAACCUCCGAACUUGCAGAUUUGACCGCAAAACCUAUGCAUUGGUGUUGAAUUUUGUUUUUGGAAUUUGGGAUGUCUUUUUUUAUGUAAAACUUAGUGAACUAAAAUGUGAACUAGGGAAAGCCCAUUCUGUAUGCUGUGGUAGCUGCUGCCCUGUGCUUUCUUUUUCAGCUUUGAACAAACAGAGAUGAGCGAUGGUCAUGUAGACGUUUUUCUUUUAUGUAUGUGUGUGCAAGAGGGUGGUUGUGGCAGUGAUAAAUUUGUUUCUUUGUUAGGGCAUUACAUUGUAUCUGAUUGAGGAGCUAUGAUUAUAUAUCUUUUUCAGUUUCUUUUUCCUUCUUUUUACCAUUGGAGUUAGCAUGUAUUUUUAAGCUCUGGACAAUUAUCUAAUGGACACAUGGUAAUGGUAAUAGUUCUAAUGAUGCUUUUCUAGAUGGCACAGAAUAAAAUAUGAAGCGUAGCUGGAGAUGAUUGAUAAAAUAAGGUAUUUUUUCAUGCAUCUGAGAAAACCAGAAAAAUCUAGACUAGUGCCCUUAACUUGUAUUAUUUUGUUUACCUUUUUAGAGUGUUGCUUGGCAUUGUUAUGCUUCUUAUGGCAAUGUGUGUCAUUUGAUAUGCUACCCUUAGAGGUGCAUAAGUGGUUUAGUGCUACCCUUAGAGGUGAUUGGCAAUAGUAUCUUAAUAACCACGCAAGAAGGGAAGGGCAGGGCUAAAAGAUGAACUAAACUACUCGAUAUUUGAAUCAAUCUCGGCUUGGUAAGAGCUCGAUCGAGCUUCGUUCGCCAAUUAGUCGAGUCAAGUUUGAACAGCAUUUUGUGUUUGAUAAUAUUCAAACUCGACAAAAAACUCAUUCAAACUUGGUUCGGCAAACAAAAAAACCAAGUUUGAACAAAAUUUCAAACUCGUUAAAAUAAUGAAACAAGCUUGAAUACUUGGGUGUUCUAGUUGAUUAGACUCAUUUACACUCCUAGGAAAGGGAAAAUAAUUUUGUUAAAAAAAAAGGAAAUCUAGUUUGAUUCCACUCCGGAAAAUGUGAUAACUAAAACAAUUGUUAUUGCAAUGAUUCCAUAGAUAAUUUGAUUUGGAUUCCACUUCUGUUCCUAGACAUGAACCAAGCAGCUCCUUACUAGACGGCCGUAAUAGAUAUUCUAAGCUCACUGAUUUAUUGUUGCUGCGCUUUUUUCUCAUUCUUCUUCUUUUUAACUUCCAACAACAUUUUCCAUGUUAUUCUAAUCUAGCUGUUUUGAACUCCUGGAAUUAACGACUUGCAGCGUGACCAUGGUUGGAUAUCUAACUUGCUUUUGAUUCAGGGAUGCUAGACGUAGACGACAUAACUGAUGAAGCUUGAGCCAAAGUGCUGUAUGAUGUGUCGCCGGCGGAUGAAAAUUGAUUAAGUGCGAAGUGUUGCCUCUUAAUGCUGAGUGUUGCUUACAAAUGAGGCAAACAUAUUCUAUGUUUAUAUGUUAGAUAUUUAACCACAACUAGGAGACUUUUUGUUGUUUUGAACUUGCAAAUUAUCUUAAGAAAAAGAAAGUUGUGCUGCGUUAAUGAUGUUACUGUGGAAUGUUCACUUUAGCUAAUAGUGGUGAUAUUACUUUAUUUGCGUUUCUGAGUUGGGUAAAUUUUAAUGUUGGUUGCACCACUGAAAAAUGGUUUUGGGUUCUCAGACUACAUCAACUUUAAUCAUUUAAAAUUUGAACCGCUAUUAUCACUAAGAGACAGAUAUUAAGGGAAUAAUUUUCCAAAAGGAUCAUAGUGUUAUGAAACAACUAAAAUGUGGAUGUCCCUUUGUAUUUCCAAGAGAAUUAAUUCAUGAUUUAUGGCUACAUUAUGUAUAGAAGUUACAAUCCAUAAAUCUAUUCAUGUAGUGGAGAAAUCGUUUCAUAGAUUUUUUCAUAUUCUUGUAGUAGUGAGUGUUUAAUAGAAUUGAUGUACCUUUAUUCUUGUAGUACCUAUAUAUAAAGGUACAUUGACACCCUUUGUGAGGACUUUUGUAUUAGUUGAAAUAAUAAGAUAAUCACUCUCGAUAUUUGAAUCAAGCUUGAUUUGGUAAGAGCUCGAUCGAGCUUAGUUCGCCAAUUAGUCGAGUCAAGUUUGAACAGCAUUUUGUGUUUGAUAAUAUUCAAACUCGACAAAAAACUCAUUCAAACUUGGUUCGGCAAACAAAAAAACUAAAUUUGAACAAAAUUUCAAACUUGUUAAAAUAAUCAAACAAGCUUGAAUACUUGGGUGUUCCGGUUGAUUAGACUCAUUUACACUCCUAGGAAAGGGAAAACAAAUUGUUAAAAAAAGGAAAUCUAGUUUGAUUCCCACUACGGAAAAUGUGAUAACCAAAACAAUUGUUAUUGCAAUGAUUCCAUAGGUAAUUUGAUUUGGAUUCCACUUCUGUUCCUAGACAUGAACCAAGCAGCUCCUUACUAGACGGCCGUAAUAGAUGUUCUAUGCUUACUGAUUUAUUGUUGUUGCGUUUUUUUCUCCUUCUUCUUCUUUUUAAUUCCCAACAACAUUUUUCAUGUUAUUCUAAUCUAGCUGUUUUGAACUUCUGGAAUUAAUGACUUGCAGCGUGACCAUGGUUGGGUAUCUAACUUGCUUUUGAUUCAGGGAUGCUAGACGUAGACGACAUAACUGAUGACACUUGAGCCAAAGUGCUGUAUGAUGUGUCGCCGGCGGAUAAAAAUUGAUUAAGUGCGAAGUGUUGCCUCUUAAUGCUGAGUGUUGCUUACAAAUGAGGCAAACAUAUUCUAUGUUUAUAUGUUAGAUAUUUAACCACAACUAGGAGACUUUUUUGUUGUUUUGAAGUUGCAAGUUAUCUUAAGAAAAAGAAAGUUGUGCUGCGUUAAUGGUGUUACUGUGGAAUGUUCACUUUAGCUAAUAGUAGUGAUAUCACUUUAUUUGCGUUUCUGAGUUGGGUAAAUUUUAAUGUUGGUUGCACCACUGAAAAAUGGUUUUGGGUCCUCAGACUACAUCAACUUUAAUCAUUUAAAAUUUGAACCGCUAUUAUUACUAAGAGACAGAUAUUAAGGGAAUAAUUUCCCAAAAGGAUCAUAGUGUUAUGAAACAACUAAAAUGUGGAUGUCCCUUUGUAUUUCCAAGAGAAUUAAUUCAUGAUUUAUGGCUAAGUUAUGUAUAGAAGUUACAAUCCAUAAAUCUAUUCAUGUAGUGGAGAAAUCGUUUCAUAGGUUUUUUUAUAUUCUUGUAGUAGUGGGUGUUUAAUAGAAUUGAUGUACCUUUAAUCUUAUAGUACCUAUAUAUAGAGGUACAUUGACACCCUUUGUGAGGACUUUUGUAUUAGUUGGAAUAAUAAAAUAAUCACUCUCGAUAUUUGAAUCAAGCUCGGCUUGGUAAGAGUUCGUCGAGCUUAGUUCGCCAAUUAGUCGAAUCAAGUUUGAACAGCAUUUUGUGUUUGAUAAUAUUCAAGCUCGACAAAAAACUCAUUCAAAUUUGGUUCGACAAACAAAAAAACCAAGUUUGAACAAAAUUUCAAACUCGUUAAAUAAUCAAACAAGCUUGAAUACUUGGGUGUUCCAGUUGAUUAGACUUAUUUACACUCCUAGGAAAGGGAAAACAAAUUGUUAAAUAAAAGGAAAUCUAGUUUGAUUCCCACUCCGGAAAAUGUGAUAACCAAAACAAUUGUUAUUGCAAUGAUUCCAUAGGUAAUUUGAUUUUGAUUCCACUUCUAUUCCUAGACAUGAACCAAGCAGCUCCUUACUAGACGGUCGUAAUAGAUGUUCUAUGCUUACUGAUUUAUUGUUGUUGCGGUUUUUCCUCCUUCUUCUUCUUUUUAACUCCCAACAAUAUUUUUCAUGUUAUUCUAAUCUAGCUGUUUUGAACUUCUGGAAUUAAUGACUUGCAGCGUGACCAUGGUUGGGUAUCUAACUUGCUUUUGAUUCAGGGAUGCUAGACGUAGACGACAUAACUGAUGAAACUUGAGCCCAAAGUGCUGUAUGAUAUGUCGCCGGCGGAUAAAAAUUGAUUAAGUGCGAAGUGUUGCCUCUUAAUGCUGAGUGUUGCUUACAAAUGAGGCAAACAUAUUCUAUGUUUAUAUGUUAGAUAUUUAAUCACAACUAGGAGACUUUUUUGUUGUUUUGAAGUUUCAAGUUAUCUUAAGAAAAUGAAAGUUGUGCAGCGUUAAUGGUGUUACUGUGGAAUGUUCACUUUAGCUAAUAGUAGUGAUAUUACUUUAUUUGCGUUUCUGAGUUGGGUAAAUUUUAAUGUUAGUUGCACCACUGAAAAAUGGUUUUGGGUCCUUAGACUACAUCAACUUUAAUCAUUUAAAAUUUGAACCGCUAUUAUCACUAAGAGACAGAUAUUAAGGGAAUAAUUUUCCAAAAGGAUCAUAGUGUUAUGAAACAACUAAAAUGUGGAUGUCCCUUUGUAUUUCCAAGAGAAUUAAUUUAUGAUUUAUGGCUACAUUAUGUAUAGAAGUUACAAUCCAUAAAUCUAUUCAUGUAGUGGAGAAAUCGUUUCAUAGAUUUUUUCAUAUUCUUGUAGUAAUGAGUGUUUAAUAGAAUUGAUGUACCUUUAUUCUUGUAGUACCUAUAUAUAAAGGUACAUUGACACCCUUUGUGAGGACUUUUGUAUUAGUUGAAAUAAUAAGAUAAUCACUCUCGAUAUUUGAAUCAAGCUUGAUUUGGUAAGAGCUCGAUCGAGCUUAGUUCGCCAAUUAGUCGAGUCAAGUUUGAACAGCAUUUUGUGUUUGAUAAUAUUCAAACUCGACAAAAAACUCAUUCAAACUUGGUUCGGCAAACAAAAAACCAAAUUUGAACAAAAUUUCAAACUUGUUAAAAUAAUCAAACAAGCUUGAAUACUUGGGUGUUCCGGUUGAUUAGACUCAUUUACACUCCUAGGAAAGGGAAAACAAAUUGUUAAAAAAAGGAAAUCUAGUUUGAUUCCCACUACGGAAAAUGUGAUAACCAAAACAAUUGUUAUUGCAAUGAUUCCAUAGGUAAUUUGAUUUGGAUUCCACUUCUGUUCCUAGACAUGAACCAAGCAGCUCCUUACUAGAUGGCCGUAAUAGAUGUUCUAUGCUUACUGAUUUAUUGUUGUUGCGUUUUUUUCUCCUUCUUCUUCUUUUUAAUUCCCAACAACAUUUUUCAUGUUAUUCUAAUCUAGCUGUUUUGAACUUCUGGAAUUAAUGACUUGCAGCGUGACCAUGGUUGGGUAUCUAACUUGCUUUUGAUUCAGGGAUGCUAGACGUAGACGACAUAACUGAUGAAGCUUGAGCCCCAAGUGUUGUAUGAUGUGUCACCGGCGGAUGAAAAUUGAUUAAGUGCGAAGUGUUGCCUCUUAAUGCUGAGUGUUGCUUACAAAUGAGGCAAAUAUAUUCUAUGUUUAUAUGUUAGAUAUUUAACCACAACUAGAAGACUUUUUUGUUGUUUUGAAGUUGCAAGUUAUCUUAAAAAAAAAGUUGUGCUGCGUUAAUGGUGUUACUGUGGAAUGUUCACUUUAGCUAAUAGUAGUGCUAUUACUUUAUUUGCGUUUCUGAGUUGGGUAAAUUUUAAUGUUGUUGCAUCACUGAAAAAUGGUUUUGGGUCCUUAGACUACAUCGACUUUAAUUAUUUAAAAUUUGAACCGCUAUUAUCACUAAGAGACAGAUAUUAAGGGAAUAAUUUCCCAAAAGGAUCAUAGUGUUAUGAAACAACUAAAAUGUGGAUGUCCCUUUGUAUUCCCAAAAGAAUUAAUUCAUGAUUUAUGGCUACAUUAUGUAUAGAAGUUACAAUCCAUAAAUCUAUUCAUGUAGUGGAGAAAUCGUUUCAUAAGUUUUUUCAUAUUUUUGUAGUAGUGGGUGUUUAAUAGAAUGGAUGUACCUUUAAUCUUGUAGUACCUAUAUAUAGAGGUACAUUGACACCCUUUCUGAGGACUUUUGUAUUAGUUGGAAUAAUAAAAUAAUCACUCUCUAUUUCUUUCUCUAAUAUCUCCAAUAUUUCACUUGAUAUUAUAAUAGUUUAUUUUAUUCAUUUUACAACACGUUAUCAGCACGAGUCUCUACUUUUGAGUAAAAGGUGAAAACGGAGGAUUUACAAUGAGUAAAAGUGAAACACGAGAUUCUGCCCAUGUUUUUUCGCCAACAUCUAUCUAUUUAUUGGGGUAAAUUUCUAACCUAUAAAUUUAUUUCAAUUUAUAUGGUUAAAUUUUGAAUGAUUGCAAAAUACAAGUGUCUACUACUGAGCAACUACUAAACAAGAACAUAUAUUCUUUGACAUUUUUGAGGUAAUAUUUCAUCUUUUAUUUUUACUUAUUUAUCUUUAGAAUUAUUUGUUAUAAAUACUUAUAUUCUGAUGCAUUGAGUUUUGGAGAUGCUAUUAUAGAAAAUCAAUUAUGUUUGAGGAUUCACUUGUCCUUUGAAAUACUUAAAGAAAAAUAUAGUCAUUAUUUCAAAGCCUGGUAUGAUAAAUUUACUUAUGGUUGCAAGUACAUAAUUCUGCUAUGUUUAGAAUUAUUUCUUAGUUGAAAAUAAUAUUCUCUACAUAUUUCUCAAAUAUGCUCUUGUAGUAGCAAUAUUAAGAGAAAUUUUGAGAAAUAUUUUGUACUUAUUGCAUGCUAAUUCUAGUCUAUUUUCAGAAAUGAAUGCGACUAAAUUUUAAUUUUUUAGUUAUGAUUGUUGCCAUGACUAUGAUUUUGAUAAAUAUAUAUUUUACCAUGAUAAGAGAAAAAAUUACCACUUGAAGUGGGAUAAUAAUGAUGAGGACAAGAAAGUAAGGAUCCUGAAAAUAAAUGUCUCGAAAUUCAUAUGAGGAAUCAAAAUUAUAAUAUCAUCUUCACAUAGCCAAUUUCUUUAAACACCCUGAAGGUGUAUGAUGAUUGAUUUAAUUAGCUUUUCUUCCUGAAGAAGAAAUAAGUGUUAAAUAUUUGGGAUCAAAGGAUUAUGGUGAUGAUAUUUGUCCCAUAAGAAUUAUGAUGACAAUAAUAUGUGUCUCGCUAAUAAAUGCUACUAUAUACACUAUUUUUCAACAAAAGAGACAAACACAAUCAAUUGUAGUGUUUAAGUGAUUGGAAACUCCAGAAGAGCCACUACUAUAUUUUUUCCUAUAGGAGAAACGUUUAUCAUAAAUAAAUCACUACUUUUUAUCAUGUCUCGAAAAAUUUAUUGAAUUUGAAUAUCCGUCGAAAUGGAUAUCAAAUUGAGACACUAAAUGAAACAAUAAUAGAGAUCAUGUUUAAAAAUCAAGUGAGAUAAAGGUUAAUUAUAUCAUAAUAAUCAUUCGAGAAAGAAAUGGUUAUCGAUAUAGUUGUCUUCAUUCUCAUUUUGAUUUAUAAUCAUCAAUUGCAGUAAACCAGAAGUUUACUGAUCCAAUGUAUAUGUGAUUUGACAAAAGUGAGAAUAUUUGAGAGUCGAUAAGUAUUUAUACAUACUCCUUUUAUAUUAUAUAUGACUCCAAAAUAAAUUUAAAAUUUAUUUUAGGUAUGAAUCACCUUUCACGAUUAAAUAUCGUAAAAUAUUGAUAGGUGAUCUAUUGAAUGAUUUAUUUAUUCUGAUGAAUUACGAUUCCUAAUAUUAGGGGAAGGAAAAAAUCAACCGAAAGGAAAUCACCUGAAAAAUUGAAUUUCCUCUAUCCUCAUACAAAAUAAUAUGAACUAAAAGUUCAAAAAAUUCUUCAUUUGUAGAUAGUUAUAUUUAUCGACUCCAGAAGAGUCAUUAAAUCAACUAUUCCUGCAGGAAAUACUCUGGUUAAAAUUGAUGUCCCUGAAGGACAUGUAUAAAUGCUACAAAUAAAUUUAAAACCAGCCUAUCUAAAUAAGGUAUAAAUUAAUUUCGAAUAACUUUGGAGAUAAAAUAAAUGUCAUGAUAAAAUUCAACCUCUUGAAGAGGUCGCUUUCGAAGAGCCAACUCCUGAAGAGAAUGAAAUCAUAGAAAAUCUAAUUAGAGCCUAAUAAAAUGUAGCACUUGAUAUUAUAGAAGUUGAUGAAAAUCAUGAAUCUAGAUCGGUUGAUGAAUGUCGGUAUAGAAAUGAUUGGGCAAAGUGAAAAGAUGCGAUCCAAUCUAAAUUGGAUUUAUUGAUUGAAAGAAAAUUUUUUGGACUUGUAGUCCAAACACCUAAAGGUGUAAAGCUAGUAGCUUAAGGAUUUUCACAAAGGUCUGAAUUUGAUUAUGAUGAAACGUAUUCACCUGUAGUGGAUGCUCUCGCAUUUAGAUUUUUUGUGAGUUUUGCAGUACAUGAAAAACUAGAGAUGUAUUUAAUGGACGUUGUUAUUGCAUAUUUAUAUGAAAAUUUUGAAAAUGAUACUUAUAUGAGAAUUCGCGAAGAAUUCAACAUGCCUGAAGCAUGCAAAUCAAAUUCUAAAGAUAUUUAUUCUAUUAAAUUACAAAGAUUUUUGUAUGGGGUCAAACAAUCUGGACGUAUGUAGUAUAACCGCAUCAAUGAAUGUCUAACUAAAGAAGGUUAUAUCAAUGAUCCAAUAUGUCCAUGUGUUUUUUAUCAAGAAAAAAUGGAUCAAAUUUUAUGAUAAUUGUUGUAUAUGUUGAUGAUCUAAAUUUGAUUAGAACUCUUGAAGAGAUUCAAAUAGUGUUGAAUAUUUGAAGAAAAAAUUUGAGGUCAAUGAUUUUGGAAAGACAAAAUUCUGCUUUGGUUUACAAAUUGAGUAUUUGAAAAGUGAAAUUUUUAUCCACCAAACUACAUAUACCCGAAAGGUGUUAAAGCGGUAUUAUAUAGUUAAGGCACAUAUAUUAAGUACUCCAAUGGUUGUUAGAUCAUUAGAUCCUAAUAAGGAUCCUUUUAGAUCGCAAGAGGAAGAUGAAGAGAUACUCGAUCCUGAAGUAUCAUAUCUCAGUGCAAUUGGCGAAGAAUAUUGGAAUGCGACGAUUAAAAGAUCUCAAAUGAUAUUUGCAUCAGGGAGAAAUUAAUAUACAGGAAUAGUGUACUCUUUUUCUUUUACUAGGGUUUUUGUUCCGAUGGAUUUUUCUCUAGUAAGGUUUUAACGAGGCAUAUUCUUUGUGUAAUGGACAUCCAAAGGGGAGUGUUAUGAAACAACUAAAAUGUGGAUGUCCCUUUGUAUUCCCAAAAGAAUUAAUUCAUGAUUUAUGGCUACAUUAUGUAUAGAAAUUACAAUCCAUAAAUCUAUUCAUGUAGUGGAGAAACUGUUUUAUAAGUUUUUUCAUAUUCUUGUAGUAGUGGGUGUUUAAUAGAAUUGAUGUACCUUUAAUCUUGUAAUACCUGUAUAUAGAGGUAUAUUGAAACCCUUUGUGAGGACUUUUGUAUUAGUUGGAAUAAUAAGAUAAUCACUAUCUAUUUCUCUAUUUCUUUCUCUAAUAUUUCCAAUAUUUCACUUAAUAUUAUAGUAGUUUAUUUUAUUAGUUUUUACAACACAUAGAAUUUUUUUUUUAAUUAUUACACCCCUUCAACAAAAUGUCUUGACUACGCUGCUCUGUGUGUGUAUAUGUAUAGCGUUUUAUUUUUUUUUUUCUUUCCAAUACUAUUUUUGUCAUGGAAUAAUUAAUCAUGUUAAUACUGCGAAACAAGGAUGCCAUUAUAACAACAUCAUCGAGUUACGGGUUUGUUUGGAUAGAGGCUUAUUUGUCAAAAUUUAUUUGCUUACAUCAUCAUUACAAUUUCCAACACACCUUUUUAUCUUCCCAAUUACCUUUUUAUCUCACAUACAUCACAUCACAAAAAGUGCUACAGUAAAAAUAUCUCAAAUAAUUUACAAUCCAAACAGAGCUACUGUACUAAUUUGGAAUAGACUUUGAUUUGGAAUGAAAUUAGGUUUGUUUGCUUUCCAUUGCGACCGUUGUCAUAAAAAAAGUUAAUACGAUGUCAUGAAUGCCACUUAACAUUGUUGAGCGUAUGGAAUGCCCAGAUCGAGAUUUUGUAUUAGGAACAAAACCUUAUUGCAUUAAAUUUUCUUAUUAAUAGGAUUAUAUUUGAAUGAAUUUCCUUUUUGAACGUUGUCCUUUAUUAAGCACAUCUGCACAUGCCUUGCUUUUGUUGUAAAUUAACUUCCAUCCAACAAAGUUGUGGGAAUUCUGCUAGAUAUCGUUUUAUAGAUUCUGAAUAGGUUUUGGCUUCCUUUGUGAACAUGAUGUACUUCGGCAUCAAGGAAAAUGUCGCCCCGGACGGAAGAAAGCUCUGAGAUUGACCAUUUUAAAUGCGACCUGGAUUGAGGCUCUUCUGGGGUAGGCAUCGUCUGUCUUCAGAGAAAGAGGGAGAGAUUAUUACAUGUUUAUUCGCUCUUCAUUUCUGUUUGGUAAUAUCUCCCAAAUCCCCGGGCAAUCACUGGAGAAAGUAGAAGAGCUACACUCUUUCCUGCUUCUUCCGUCUCUGGUUUGGAAGUUGCUUUUGUCUUCUAUGUUGUAGGAUUAUAGUACAUUGCAACAAUCUUAAGAUCUGGAAUGUAGAAUGAUUGGAGUUUAUAGAAUCUUUAAUGAAGAUUGCUAAAACAAAAAACAUCCAUAUGGAUUAGGUGUUAUUGAGGGGUUGGGCGACGUGGGGUAGAGGGAGGAGGGGGUAGUGGGAGGGGGGAUGGUGGCUGCUAGCGGUACGUGGUGGUGGUGGUGUUUGGAAGAAGGGAGAGGAUGAGGGUUUAUUUUAUUUUUAUUAGUGUAAUUGAGUGUGUUUUUGGGAGUUGUUUUUACAGUUGUUUAUGGAGUCAGCAUAGACUCCACAAACAAAAAUAGUUUGUGAAAAAAAAAGGUUUCCAAACAGAUACAGAGAUGUUUUUCCGAGUCCUAUAUGUACAACACAUACGAGGAAUAUGAUGCGGGUAUUAGUUUGCUGAACAGAAUCUUCUUGUGCCCAACUCGUACAAUUAUGGGUCGUCAAAGCCAGCAUUUCCACCGUCCGUUAAAAAAGUGAUGUAGAAUUAUCUCCUCGUAUCAAUGAAGUCAUAAACCAAAUAUGCGAGGAACUGUGUU
rnacentral:lncRNA from 1 species